GACGAACGCUGGCGGCGCGCCUAACACAUGCAAGUCGAACGAGCAAAGAGGAGCUUGCUUCUCUGAGCGAGUGGCGAACGGGUGAGUAACGCGUGAGGAACCUGCCUCAAAGAGGGGGACAACAGUUGGAAACGACUGCUAAUACCGCAUAAGCCCACGGGUCGGCAUCGACCAGAGGGAAAAGGAGCAAUCCGCUUUGAGAUGGCCUCGCGUCCGAUUAGCUAGUUGGUGAGGUAAUGGCCCACCAAGGCGACGAUCGGUAGCCGGACUGAGAGGUUGAACGGCCACAUUGGGACUGAGACACGGCCCAGACUCCUACGGGAGGCAGCAGUGGGGAAUAUUGCACAAUGGGGGAAACCCUGAUGCAGCGACGCCGCGUGGAGGAAGAAGGUCUUCGGAUUGUAAACUCCUGUUGUUGAGGAAGAUAAUGACGGUACUCAACAAGGAAGUGACGGCUAACUACGUGCCAGCAGCCGCGGUAAAACGUAGGUCACAAGCGUUGUCCGGAAUUACUGGGUGUAAAGGGAGCGCAGGCGGGAAGACAAGUUGGAAGUGAAAUCCAUGGGCUCAACCCAUGAACUGCUUUCAAAACUGUUUUUCCUGAGUAGUGCAGAGGUAGGCGGAAUUCCCGGUGUAGCGGUGGAAUGCGUAGAUAUCGGGAGGAACACCAGUGGCGAAGGCGGCCUACUGGGCACCAACUGACGCUGAGGCUCGAAAGUGUGGGUAGCAAACAGGAUUAGAUACCCUGGUAGUCCACACCGUAAACGAUGAUUACUAGGUGUUGGAGGAUUGACCCCUUCAGUGCCGCAGUUAACACAAUAAGUAAUCCACCUGGGGAGUACGACCGCAAGGUUGAAACUCAAAGGAAUUGACGGGGGCCCGCACAAGCAGUGGAGUAUGUGGUUUAAUUCGACGCAACGCGAAGAACCUUACCAAGUCUUGACAUCCUGCGACGGACAUAGAAAUAUGUCUUUCCUUCGGGACGCAGAGACAGGUGGUGCAUGGUUGUCGUCAGCUCGUGUCGUGAGAUGUUGGGUUAAGUCCCGCAACGAGCGCAACCCUUAUGGUCAGUUACUACGCAAGAGGACUCUGACCAGACUGCCGUUGACAAAACGGAGGAAGGUGGGGAUGACGUCAAAUCAUCAUGCCCUUUAUGACUUGGGCUACACACGUACUACAAUGGCGUUAAACAAAGAGAAGCAAGACCGCGAGGUGGAGCAAAACUCAGAAACAACGUCCCAGUUCGGACUGCAGGCUGCAACUCGCCUGCACGAAGUCGGAAUUGCUAGUAAUCGUGGAUCAGCAUGCCACGGUGAAUACGUUCCCGGGCCU
rnacentral:rRNA from 1 species